ACUCAAAUUGUUGAGGUGCCGAAAAUUGGAAAUCUUGAACCUUCAAAACAACCAGUUUUCUGGCAAAGUCCCAUCUGAAUUAUCAUCUCUUGUCCGCCUUCGAAUCCUUGACCUCUCUUAUAAUGAGUUAUCAGGGAACCUCAAUUUCUUGAAAUACUUCCCCAACUUUGAAAAAUUGUCCCUUGGUGAUAACCUAAUGAAUUAUCAGGGAACCUCAAUUUCUUGAAAUACUUUCCCAACCUUGAAAAUUUGUCCCUUGCUGAUAACAUGUUCAUUGACAAAAUACCUCAAUCCUUGAAAUCUUUCAGAAAUCUCCGGUUCCUCAACAUUUCAGGGAAUAGUUUUCUUUAA
rnacentral:lncRNA from 1 species